rnacentral:rRNA from 1 species
UGCUUUUUGAAUCUAAUAAAAAGUAAGACCUGCCCGGUGGAUUAAUCUAAACGGCCGCAGAAUUUUAACUGUGCUAAGGUAGCAUAAUCAUUUGUUCUUUAAUUGAGGACUAGUAUGAACGGUUUAACGAAAUUGGACUAUUUUUUUUGUACAUAGUAAAAUUUUAUCUUAAAGUUAAAAAGCUUUAAUAAAAUAAAAAGACAAAAAGACCCUGUAGAGUUUAAUUUCUUAUAUUAAAAAUAAUUACCCAGAAAUUUUGUUGGGGCAACAAAGAAAAAAUAAAUUUUUCUUAAUCUAAAAUAACAUAUAAAAUCAUUAAUUUAAUAAAUCAAAAUAAAUUACCUCAGGGAUAACAGCGUAAUUUUCUUAAAGAGCCCAAAUCGAAAAGAAAAAUUACGACCUCGAUGUUGGAUUAGAGAAACUGAAAAUAGCAAAAAAUUUUUUAGUUAGUCUGUUCGACUAAUAACUCUCUACAUG